ACGCUCGACACCUACGGGGGGCAGCAGUAGGGAAUCUUCCACAAUGGGCGCAAGCCUGAUGGAGCAACACCGCGUGAGUGAAGAAGGGUUUCGGCUCGUAAAGCUCUGUUGUUGGAGAAGAACGUGCGUGAGAGUAACUGUUCACGCAGUGACGGUAUCCAACCAGAAAGUCACGGCUAACUACGUGCCUGCAGCCGCGGUAAUCUGAGCGGGCUGGCAAGGC
rnacentral:rRNA from 1 species